AAGUCGUAACAAGGUUUCCGUAGGUGAACCUGCGGAAGGAUCAUUACCUUUCAAUGCAGAAGAGUUGGGAUGGUUGAGUAUCUCGCCUCUCAAUUCUCGCUGUAUUUUACCCUUGUUUUUCUCAUACUAUUAUUUCCUCGGCAGGCUCGCCUGCCGGGUGAAACAACUUCAAACCUGUUUAAUUUUCAAUCAGCGUCUGAACAAAUUAAUAAUUACAACUUUCAACAACGGAUCUCUUGGUUCUG
rnacentral:misc_RNA from 1 species